CAGGCUCUUCUCAUCAACAACAAUUCACAGGAUAGAGAUUACUCAACAUCAAUAGAGAUUACUCAAGACAACAACAUCACACGAUUAAUUUCUGCCAUUUUGCAAGUUAAUGACACAACUAUCAAGGAGUAGUAGUUUUUUUACAGCCACAUUGACCGCUCCACAUUUUAAGGCGUCACCAACCGAAGAUUGAACAUCCAGUAUGAGUAAGUUGUUUCUGCGUCCCAGCAACAAAAGAAAAAACAGAACCUGCAGCAAAGAACCUCAUCAGCAGAGCCGAUUUUGGAUACUCAUGAGGAAGAAAAUACAGAAAAAAAAAUAUCUGCAAGUUCAAACAGCACUAGGAAAACGGUUUCUACCAGUUAAAUUUGUUCUCUCAUCUCUUUGCACAUCUCAACAGAGAAAGAACGAGUAGAACAAUGUACUGCCAAGAUUAUCAGUCAUGGGCAACAUUUGAUUUCUAGUAAUACUUUUGGCUUAAGAUGAUUAGUAGCAAAAGUUGAGAUUUAUUGAGCCCACACAAUUGGAACAUGAGUUCAUAUUCGAAGGAUUGAAUUGAAACCUUCCAGUCAUUGUGUUUUAUCAUAAAGCAAAAGGAUAUUGAAAAAAUGAUAUAAAAUUUUCUGGCAUAAUAAACUGCAUUGUGGUAGCACAUCAGCACAAUGAACUAUGAACUGUGCAGAUCCAGGAGGAAGUGUUUCACAGCUCCAAGAGAAAAUACGAAUACGGUCAAACUAGGCGAUUAAUUUAUUUUCUUUACCUUUGCAGAAUAUCAAUCCAUUGACUGCAAACAAAACAAUAGACACAUUGUAAAGAAGAUGUCAUAUCACCUGUUUAACCAACAAAGCGUGUCAGCAGAUGUAAUAGCACAAUCAUCUCAGCUGUUGCUCAACGGUUCAACUUGAUCAUUUCGACCGCCAAGGGCAAUUCCUACGAGAAGAAUAAGUCAAUAAACUAGUGAUAGCUGUGGGCAAGGACAAAACAGAUAAAAUGUGGUGACACUUAAAUAAAGCGAUUGUUAUGUAUCUCAACUUGCACAAAAUAUUAGCUUUUUCUACAAGGAACAACUAACAAAUGAUAUGUAUUGCAAAAUCUAAAUAAUUCAUAAAGACAGUGCACACCAUUUACCUCAUAGUGAAGGAUACAGUGCUCAGUAUCUUACUUGACCAUGAAGCAUUUUCAGAAUUGUCUUGGUGUGAGCCC
rnacentral:lncRNA from 1 species